UUUCCUUCUCUCUAAAUCUUCUUUCUUUUUAUUAUUGAGCUAAUGAACGAUUAUAUUUUUGUAAAUAUUGCAAGUGAAUUUAUCGGCAUAAGAGGUGAAUUCAUCACCUAAAGAGGUUAGCGUCAUCUUUCUUAUCUCUAAAUAUCUUUUUGUUUAUGGUUGAUCUACUGAUCGUAUUUAUGUUUGAUUAUUUUGCAGUGGAAUUGAUCGCCAUGAGAAAUGAAAAGCUCUGUAAACUGGUUUUGCAAUCAUGAAUCUUCUACUAUCUACUUUUGCUUCCGAUUUAUAAAACUAAUCAUUUUUAUGCUUUUGCAGGUAUUGUAGGUUAAAUGAUACGAAUGACAGGAAAAGCAAUAUGAACUGAGUUUUCCAGGUAGUUUGUUCUCACAGAAAGCUUCUUGGUAUCAUU